AAACUAACAAGGAUUCCCCUAGUAACUGCGAGUGAAGCGGGAAAAGCUCAAAUUUAAAAUCCUGCCCAANUUGUWAUCUAGAGAAGUGUUUUCGGUCGUUGCCUCGGAAAAGUCCCCUGGAACAGGGCGUCAUAGAGGGUGAGAAUCCCGUCUUUGCCGAGCUCCCAANGUCUAUGUGAUACACUUUCAAAGAGUCGAGUUGUUUGGGAUUGCAGCUCAAAAUGGGUGGUAAACUCCAUCUAAAGCUAAAUAUUGGCGAGAGACCGAUAGCGAACAAGUACCGUGAGGGAAAGAUGAAAAGCACUUUGGACAGAGAGUUAACCAGUACGUGAAAUUGUUGAAAGGGAAGCGCUUGAAGUCAGUCRCGUUGYAUGGACUCAGCCUCACGGCGCAUUUCUAUGCAACGGGUCAACAUCAGUUUCGACCGUGGGAAAAGGACUUGGGGAAUGUGGCAACUCCGGUUGUGUUAUAGCCCUUUGUCGUACACCACGGUCGGGACUGAGGUCUGCUUACAGGAUGUUGACGAAAUGGCUUUAAGCGACCCGUCUUGAAACACGGACCAAGGAGUCUAACAUGUCUGCGAGUGUUUGGGUGUUAAACCCAUGCGCGCAAUGAAAGUGAACGUAGGUGGGAGGCUUCGGCCGCACCAUCGACCGAUCCGGAUCUCUUGUGAUGGAUUUGAGUAAGAGCAUAUAUGUUGGGACCCGAAAGAUGGUGAACUAUGCCUGAAUAGGGCGAAGCCAGAGGAAACUCUGGUGGAGGCUCGUAGCGAUUCUGACGUGCAAAUCGAUCGUCAAAUUUGGGUAUAGGGGCGAAAGACUAAUCGAACCAUCUGAGGUNNNNNNNNNNNN
rnacentral:rRNA from 2 species